rnacentral:rRNA from 1 species
UACGUAGGGGGCAAGCGUUGUCCGGAAUCACUGGGCGUAAAGAGCGCGUAGGCGGCUCAUGAAGGCUGUGGUGAAAGUCCGGGGCUCAACCUCGGAUCGGCCGUGGCGACUCGUGGGCUGGAGCACUGUAGAGGCGGGUGGAAUUCCGGGUGUAGCGGUGGAAUGCGUAGAGAUCCGGAAGAACACCAGUGGCGAAGGCGGCCCGCUGGGCAGUGGCUGACGCUGAGGCGCGACAGCGUGGGGAGCAAACAGG